UAGAGUUUGAUCCUGGCUCAGAUUGAACGCUGGCGGAAUGCUUUACACAUGCAAGUCGAACGGCAGCACGGGGGCAACCCUGGUGGCGAGUGGCGAACGGGUGAGUAAUACAUCGGAACGUGCCCAUGUCGUGGGGGAUAACGUAGCGAAAGCUACGCUAAUACCGCAUACGAUCUAAGGAUGAAAGCGGGGGACCGUAAGGCCUCGCGCGAUUGGAGCGGCCGAUGGCAGAUUAGGUAGUUGGUGGGGUAAAGGCUCACCAAGCCUGCGAUCUGUAGCUGGUCUGAGAGGACGACCAGCCACACUGGGACUGAGACACGGCCCAGACUCCUACGGGAGGCAGCAGUGGGGAAUUUUGGACAAUGGGCGCAAGCCUGAUCCAGCCAUUCCGCGUGCAGGAUGAAGGCCUUCGGGUUGUAAACUGCUUUUGUACGGAACGAAACGACCUUCUCUAAUACAGGGGGUUAAUGACGGUACCGUAAGAAUAAGCACCGGCUAACUACGUGCCAGCCGCCGCGGUAAUAC
rnacentral:rRNA from 1 species